AACGCUGGCGGCGUGCCUAACACAUGCAAGUCGCACGAGAAAGGGGAGCAAUCCAUGAGUACAGUGGCGCACGGGUGAGUAACACGUGAAUUAUCUACCUUCGAGUGGGGAAUAACUGGGAGAAAUCUCAGCUAAUACCGCAUAAUACUUACGGGUCAAAGCAGCAAUGCGCUUGAAGAGGAGUUCGCGGCAGAUUAGUUAGUUGGCGGGGUAAUGGCCCACCAAGACGAUGAUCUGUAUCCGGCCUGAGAGGGCGCACGGACACACUGGAACUGAAACACGGUCCAGACUCCUACGGGAGGCAGCAGUGGGGAAUUUUGCGCAAUGGGGGAAACCCUGACGCAGCAACGCCGCGUGGAGGAUGAAAUCCCUUGGGAUGUAAACUCCUUUCGAUUGGGAAGAUUAUGACGGUACCAAUAGAAGAAGCCCG
rnacentral:rRNA from 1 species